rnacentral:rRNA from 1 species
GACGUAGGAGGCGAGCGUUGUCCGGAUUCAUUGGGCGUAAAGAGCACGCAGGCGGUUUGGCAAGUCGGAUGUGAAAACCCGAAGCUCAACUUCGGGCCUGCAUCCGAAACUGCCCGACUAGAGGUAGGUAGGGGAGAUCGGAAUUCCUGGUGUAGCGGUGAAAUGCGCAGAUAAUCAGGAGGAACACCGGUGGCGAAGGCGGAUCUCUGG